rnacentral:rRNA from 1 species
CACGCGUGAGUGAUGAAGGUUUUCGGAUCGUAAAACUCUGUUGUUAGGGAAGAACAAGUGCCAUAGUAACUGAUGGCACCUUGACGGUACCUAACCAGAAAGCCACGGCUAACUACGUGCCAGCAGCCGCGGUAAUACGUAGGUGGCAAGCGUUGUCCGGAAUUAUUGGGCGUAAAGCGCUCGCAGGCGGUUCUUUAAGUCUGAUGUGAAAUCUUACGGCUCAACCGUAAACGUGCAUUGGAAACUGGGGAACUUGAGUGCAGAAGAGGAGAGUGGAAUUCCACGUGUAGCGGUGAAAUGCGUAGAGAUGUGGAGGAACACCAGUGGCGAAGGCGACUCUCUGGUCUGUAACUGACGCUGAGGAGCGAAAGCGUGGGGAGCGAACAGGAUUAGAUACCCUGGUAGUCCACGCCGUAAACGAUGAGUGCUACGUGUAAGGGGGUUUCCGCCCCCUUAGUGCUGAAGUUAACGCAUUAAACAA